rnacentral:rRNA from 1 species
GACGAACGCUGGCGGCGUGCCUAAUACAUGCAAGUAGAACGCUGAAGCGAGGAGCUUGCUCUUCUUGGAUGAGUUGCGAACGGGUGAGUAACGCGUAGGUAACCUGCCUUGUAGCGGGGGAUAACUAUUGGAAACGAUAGCUAAUACCGCAUAACAAUGGAUGACACAUGUCAUUUAUUUGAAAGGGGCAAUUGCUCCACUACAAGAUGGACCUGCGUUGUAUUAGCUAGUAGGUGAGGUAAUGGCUCACCUAGGCGACGAUACAUAGCCGACCUGAGAGGGUGAUCGGCCACACUGGGACUGAGACACGGCCCAGACUCCUACGGGAGGCAGCAGUAGGGAAUCUUCGGCAAUGGGGGCAACCCUGACCGAGCAACGCCGCGUGAGUGAAGAAGGGUUUCGGAUCGUAAAGCUCUGUUGUAAGUCAAGAACGGGUGUGAGAGUGGAAAGUUCACACUGUGACGGUAGCUUACCAGAAAGAGACGGCUAACUACGUG